rnacentral:lncRNA from 1 species
CUGUGUGGGGUGGGGCUCCUUCUUCUGUCACUCUGCUACCUAAAGAGGAGUCCAUGUUUCCCAAUAUUUCGGAAAGAGAGAGACAUCAAUCAGGUUGGAGAGCUUGCCAGAGUGAAGCAGAGAAGGCAAGGAAGGUGCUUUCUCUGCUGCAAAGGUGACUAAACACAAUCCUUCUUUCCUGUAUCCCGCUUCUUAGAAGGGUCUAAGAAUUUCUAGGGCCUCAGUGAAACUUGAGAUUGAUAAGGGAAGGAAAAUCCUCAGAUUUUGCAAUCCAGAUUGUGAAAGUCUUGGGAGAAGGAAACAACAUAGAUUGUGAGCUCAAGGAAGUGGGGGGAUGUGAAAGGACAGUACGCAAUGGGUGCCCCUACCUCUGUCAGACCUGCCAGGGCCCCAUAUAUUU